rnacentral:rRNA from 1 species
GACGAACGCUGGCGGCGUGCUUAACACAUGCAAGUCGAACGGAAAGGCCUCUUUCGGGGGGUACUCGAGUGGCGAACGGGUGAGUAACACGUGAGUAACCUGCCCUUGACUUUGGGAUAACUUCAGGAAACUGGGGCUAAUACCGGAUAGGAGCUCCUGCUGCAUGGUGGGGGUUGGAAAGUUUCGGCGGUUGGGGAUGGACUCGCGGCUUAUCAGCUUGUUGGUGGGGUAGUGGCUUACCAAGGCUUUGACGGGUAGCCGGCCUGAGAGGGUGACCGGCCACAUUGGGACUGGGAUCCGGCCCAGACUCCUACGGGAGGCAGCAGUGGGGAAUUUUGCACAAUGGGUGGAAGCCUGAUGCAGCAACGCCGUGUGCGGGAUGACGGCCUUCGGGUUGUAAACCGCUUUCGCUCAUGACGAAGCUUUGUGUGACGGUAGUGGGUAAAGAAGCACCGGCUACUACGUG